rnacentral:rRNA from 1 species
CCUACGGGAGGCAGCAGUGGGGAAUUUUGGACAAUGGGCGCAAGCCUGAUCCAGCAAUGCCGCGUGCAGGAUGAAGGCCUUCGGGUUGUAAACUGCUUUUGUACGGAACGAAAAGCCCUGGGUUAAUACCCUGGGGUCAUGACGGUACCGUAAGAAUAAGCACCGGCUAACUACGUGCCAGCAGCCGCGGUAAUACGUAGGGUGCAAGCGUUAAUCGGAAUUACUGGGCGUAAAGCGUGCGCAGGCGGUUUUGUAAGACAGAGGUGAAAUCCCCGGGCUCAACCUGGGAACUGCCUUUGUGACUGCAAGGCUAGAGUACGGCAGAGGGGGAUGGAAUUCCGCGUGUAGCAGUGAAAUGCGUAGAUAUGCGGAGGAACACCGAUGGCGAAGGCAAUCCCCUGGGCCUGUACUGACGCUCAUGCACGAAAGCGUGGGGAGCAAACAGGAUUAGAUACCCUGGUAGUC